AUGUUACUCUGUUAGUGGCACUUCCUGUCUAGGUUCUCACUCUGCACCCAUCCAUGUGGUUUCUGAGCACCUGACCUGUUCAUUAAAGUGAACACGAGAGCGAGACGAUCUCUAGUCAUCUCUUCGGCGCUGCUUCUCUCCUCCCCGCUUCUAUAGAGAGGUUUAUGGGGGGGGGCUGGUUUCUAAAUAUCUGGGUUUGAGGAGUGGCUGGCUUACAGCAGUCGGUUUCGCGCCCAUUCAGAAGGAGCUGGCUUUUGUGUCCCCUCCAGACACCAGCUCCCCAGUUUGUGCACCAGUAGCCAAGGAAGCUCUGCCUUUUCUUCCCUUGAGUCUCCCGCUGAAAGUGGAACACAGCUACUGUGGUAGGUCACAGUGACACAGGCGGGGGCGUCCCUCAGGUAACCUGGGCCAUUCGUGGGCAGGCUGUGAAGAUAAGAGCUGAAGACUCAGAUCUGCCCCUAUAUCUAACAGCGACCUAGCAGUGAAAGUGCAGCGCAUGGUGACACAAUCUGUGCAGCUGAAUGAGUGAGCGGCUGUCGGGACCAGUGGGAGCUUGUUGAAGUUUCAGCCAGCUGCUCUUCAACCACGUGCUGAUCUGACCACGGCACUCGACUCGCAGGGAGAUGGACCUGGAGCGAAGGGGAGGAGAUGCCACUAAGCCAGCUGGGUUCGCUUGUCCCUAUAGGAAGUGGAGGUGAAGUGGGACAUCCACAGCCCAAGCAGCAGAGAAGGGGAGCUGUUCUCGCUGCAGAGGGUAGCAUCAGAGGAUUUCCUCCAGAGGCCCAGAGGGGAACGGGCUUACCAGCAGCCGUUGCUAAACCUGUAAAACAGGCCAGUGCACCACGAACAGGAGAGUUUGAUCUGAAAAGGGAGCUAAGACAUUUCAAACAGGACAAAGUAGCAGCUGCCCUUAAUGGUUUUAAAAAUUAAAAUAAACCUAAAAAUAAUGGACUAUUUUUCAACUAUUAGAUUACAUCAUAUUACGACCUGUCAGGAGUCGAGGUACAUGCUACGCACCUGAUUGGAAUGGGCGUGAACAACACACCUCAA